rnacentral:rRNA from 1 species
UACGUAGGGGGCUAGCGUUGUCCGGAUUUAUUGGGCGUAAAGAGCGUGUAGGCGGCCAAGUAGGUCCGGUGUGAAAACUCGAGGCUUAACCUCGAGAUGUCAUCGGAAACCAUUUGGCUAGAGUCCGGAAGAGGAAAGUGGAAUUCCUGGUGUAGCGGUGAAAUGCGUAGAGAUUGGGAAGAACAUCAGUGGCGAAAGCGCUCUACUGGACCUUAUCUGACAUUGAGGGACGAAAGCUAGGGGAGCGAAUGGG